rnacentral:rRNA from 1 species
AGAUUGAACGCUGGCGGCAGGCCUAACACAUGCAAGUCGAGCGGUAGAGAGGUGCUUGCAUCUCUUGAGAGCGGCGGACGGGUGAGUAGUGCCUAGGAAUCUGCCUAGUGGUGGGGGAUAACGUUCGGAAACGGACGCUAAUACCGCAUACGUCCUACGGGAGAAAGCGGGGGACCUUCGGGCCUCGCGCCAUUAGAUGAGCCUAGGUCGGAUUAGCUAGUUGGUGAGGUAAUGGCUCACCAAGGCGACGAUCCGUAACUGGUCUGAGAGGAUGAUCAGUCACACUGGAACUGAGACACGGUCCAGACUCCUACGGGAGGCAGCAGUGGGGAAUAUUGGACAAUGGGCGAAAGCCUGAUCCAGCCAUGCCGCGUGUGUGAAGAAGGUCUUCGGAUUGUAAAGCACUUUAAGUGGAGGAAGGUUGUAACCUAAUACGUUGCAACUUUGACGUUACGACAGAAUAAGCACCGGCUAACUCGUGCAGCAGCCGA